GAUGAACGCUGGCGGCGUGCUUAACACAUGCAAGUCGAACGAUGAAGCCCAGCUUGCUGGGUGGAUUAGUGGCGAACGGGUGAGUAACACGUGAGUAACCUGCCCUUGACUCUGGGAUAAGCCUGGGAAACUGGGUCUAAUACUGGAUAUGACUUCUCAUCGCAUGGUGGGGGGUGGAAAGAUUUAUUGGUCUUGGAUGGACUCGCGGCCUAUCAGCUUGUUGGUGAGGUAAUGGCUCACCAAGGCGACGACGGGUAGCCGGCCUGAGAGGGUGACCGGCCAAAACGGGACUGAGACACGGCCCAGGCUCCUGGGGGGGGGAGGGGGGGGGAAUGUUGAACAAGGGGCGGAGGCCUGGUGCGGGGACGCCGGGGGGGGGGUGGCGGCCUUCGGGUUGUAAACCUUUUUCAGGAGGGAAGAGGGGGGGGGGAGGGUACCUGCAAAAAAAGCCCCGGCAAACUACGU
rnacentral:rRNA from 1 species